rnacentral:rRNA from 1 species
GAUGAACGCUGGCGGCGUGCCUAAUACAUGCAAGUCGAGCGAACAGACGAGGAGCUUGCUCCUCUGACGUUAGCGGCGGACGGGUGAGUAACACGUGGAUCACCUCCCUAUAAGACUGGGAUAACUUCGGGAAACCGGCGCUAAUACCGGAUAAUAUAUUGAUCCGCAUGGUUCGAUAGAGAAAGUCGGUUUUGGUGUCACUUCUCGCUGGUUCCGCGCCGCAUUAGCUAGUUGUGAAGUUUAUGGGUUUUCAAGGCAAGGAUGCGUAGCCGAACUGAGAGGGUGGUCGGCCACACUGGAACGGGGACACGGUCAAUACGACUACGAGAGGCAGCAGUAGGGAAUCGGCCGCAAUAGUCGAAAGCCUGACGGAGCAACGGCGCGUGUGAGAUGAAAGUCUUCGGAUCGUAAAGAUGUGUUAUGAGGGAAGAACAAAUGUGGAAGGAACUAUGCACGGCUUGACGGUAACUAGUAAAAAAGCACCGGCUAACUGCGUG